rnacentral:tRNA from 1 species
UCCCUUGUGGCUCAGCUGGUAAAGAAUCCGCCUGCAAUGCGGGAGACCCGGGUUCAAUCCCUGGGUUGGGAA